GCUGGGCAUGGUGGCUCAUGCCUGUAAUCCUAGCACUUUGGGAGGCCGAGGCGGGCGGAUCACCUGAGGUCGGGAGUUCGAGACCAGCCCGACCAACAUGGAGAAACCCUGUCUCUA
ensembl:misc_RNA Metazoa_SRP Metazoan signal recognition particle RNA